rnacentral:rRNA from 1 species
CCUACGGGAGGCUGCAGUGGGGAAUAUUGCGCAAUGGGCGAAAGCCUGACGCAGCGACGCCGCGUGGAGGAUGAAGGUCUUCGGAUUGUAAACUUCUGUUAGGUGGGAAGAAAUCCACAAAUUUAAUACAUUUGUGGGAUGACGGUACCAUCAGAGAAAGCACUGGCUAACCUCGUGCCAGCAGCCGCGGUAAUACGAGGGGUGCAAGCGUUAUUCGGAGUGAUUGGGCGUAAAGGGUGUGUAGGCGGUAUGUUAAGUCAAUGGUGUAAUUUCUC